rnacentral:lncRNA from 1 species
GGGUUCUCAUCAUAAAUUGGCUCUUUUGCUUCCUCUUCAUACUCUUCCUCAACAAGAUUAACUUCAGCUUUCGGCUUAGGACAUUCAUAGGAUUGAUGCCCUGUUUCUCCACACCCAAAACACUUCAUACUUGAAGAAGAACCACCUUUCUCUUUAUUCAUAUUUCCUUCCCAAGCAUGUGGGUUUGGAUGCUCAAAAUUACUUGCUGAAGUUUUCUUUCCUUAUGAUGUCAUC